AACAGGACCAAUCCUCAGAGAUCACAGACGGCUAUGGAAGAGUGCCAUCUGAUUUUUGUGCACAGGACAAAAAGGCAUAAUGAAGGAUUUUUAGGGAUUUUUCUGCCAUUGUAAUCCUUGGGCGGGCCGCCUAAACAUUUUUUUGUUUGUUUUUUUCCAAACAGUGAAAUAAUAAAACAUUUGGGAUUGAAAAACGCUUUCAGUGUAAACUUAAACAACUAAAACCAGAUAUAAACUAUGUACACCCAUCUAGUACUGGGUCAGACCACCCUUUUGCAGCCAGAACAUAAUUAAUUAUUUGGGGCUUGGAAACAUUGCUCAAUUGGUAUCAAGGGGCCUAACGUGUGCCAGGAAAACAUUCCCCACAUUAUUACACCCCCGAGUACCAUUGACACCAGACAGGAUGGGUCCAUGGACUCAUGAUGCUUACUUCAAAUCCUGACUGCCAUCAGCAUGACACAACAGGAAAUAGGAUUUGCCAGACCAGGCAAUGUUUUUCCACUCCUAAAUUGUCCAGUCUUGGUGAUCGGGUGCCCACUGAAGCUAGUUCUUCUUGUUUUUAGCAGAUAGAAGUGGAACCCAGUGUAGUCGUUUGCCCAUCUGUGACAAGGACUGACGAGUUCCGAGAUGCCGUUCUGCACACCACUGUUGUUCCGCACCGUUAUUUGCCUGUUUGUGGCCCGCCUGUUAGCUUGCACAAUUCUUGCCAUUCUCCUUUGACCUUUCAUCAACAAGCCGUUUUCACCCCCACAAGACUGCCGUGGGCCGGCUGUUUUUUGUUUCAUGCACCAUUCUCGGUAAACCCUAGACAACGGUCGUGCGUGACAAGCCCGGGAGGCCAGACAAUUCUGAGAUAUCGUUCUGCCCCUGAACAGGCAGUUAACCCACUGUUCCUAGGCCGUCAUUGAAAAUAAGAAUUUGUUCUUAACUGACUUGCCUAGUUAAAUAAAGGAAAAAUAAAAUAAAAAUAUCGGUGCUGCCUUGCACAGACGAUCAUACCAUACUCAAAGCCGCUUAGGUCACUUGUUUUGCCCAUUCUAAUGUCAAUCAAAAAGUAACUGAAUGCCUGUCUGCCUGCUUUAUAUAGCAAGCCACAGCCACGUGACUCACUGUCUGUAGGAGUGAAACGUUUUUCGUGAACAGGGUGGUGUACCUAAUAAACCACUUAAGGGAGUGUAUUAUUUAAAAUAAUAUAAUCUUCGAGAACUAACAAUCACCAAAAUAAAAUCUAGACAGGCAGUGAAAAUGCCCAAAGCAAUACAUUUAGUAGUAUUGCUUUUGUUAUUAUGUUUGAGUAAAUGAACAGCCUUCUCUGUUAUAAAAUGCAUAGAAUUGCAGGAAAUUAGCUUUAAAACUGCAACAUUUUCUCUCAGUUCCAUGGCAAAGUGUGUAGAAUUGCAGGAAAUUUGCUUUAAAACUGCUAAACUGUCUCUACACCGCCAAGAUGGGGGCUUCUAAAAUCUUCCCUACAAUUUAGCUGCGCCACCUGGCAGACCAAGGCCAUUGCCCUUUUUGAUCCAGAACAACCCUGACGUUAUUUUAUAAGAAAGACUACUGGGAGAGAGCUGGACAGAAGGAGUGUUGGAGACGGUUUGGCCUGUUUAUGUGUUGUGUAUACAGUUGAAGUCAGAAGUUUACAUACACCUCAGCAAAAUACAUUUAAAUUCACAAUAUUCACAAUUCCUGACAUUUAAUCCUAAUAAAAAUUCCCUGUCAAAGGUCAGUUAGGAUCACCACUUUAUUUUAAGAAUGUGAAAUGUCAGAAUAAUAGUAGAGAGAAUGAUUUAUUUCAGCUUUUAUUUUUUUCAUCACAUUCCCAGUGGGUCAGAAGUUUUCAUACACUCAAUUAGUAUUUGAUAGCAACGCCUUUAAAUUGUUUAACAUGGGUCAAACGUUUUGGGAAGCCUUCCACAAUCUUCCCACAAUAAGUUGGGUGGAUUUUGGCCCAUUCCUCCUGACAGAGCUAGUGUAACUGAGUCAGGUUUGUAGGCCUCCUUGCUCGCACACACUUUUUCAGUUCUGCCCAUAAAUGUUCUAUAGGAUUGAGGUCAAACACUGGUGAUGGCCACUCCAAUACUUUGACUUUGUUGUCAUUAAGCCAUUUUGCCACUACUUUGGAAGUAUGCUUGGGGUCAUUGUCCAUUUGGAAGACCCAUUUGCAACCAAGCUUUAACUUCCUGACUGAUGUCUUGAGAUGUUGCUUCAAUAUAUCCACAUAAUUUUCCUACCUCAUGAUGCCAUCUAUUUUGUGAAGUGCACCAGUCCCUUCUGCAGCAAAGCACCCCCACAACAUGAUGCUGCCACCCCUGAGCUUCACGGUUGGGAUGGUGUUCUUCUGCUUGCAAGCCUCCCUCUUUUUCCUCCAAACAUAACGAUGGUCAUUAUGACCAAACAGUUCCAUUUUUGUUUCAUCUGACUAGAGGACUUUUCUCCAUGUGCAGUUGCAAACCAUAGUCUGGCUUUUUUAUGGCGGUUUUGGAGCAGUGGCUUCUUCCUUGCUGAGCAGCCUUUCAGGUUAUGUCGAUAUAGGACUUGUUUACUGUGGAUAUAGAUACUUUCGUACCUGUUUCCUCCAGCAUCUUCACAAGGUCCUUUGCUAUUGUUCUGGGAUUGAUUUGCACUUUCGCACCAAUGUACAUUCAUCUCUAGGAGACAGAAUGUGCCUCCUUCCUGAGCGGUAUGACGGCUGCGUGGUCCCAUGGUGUUUAUACUUGCGUACUAUUGUUUGUAGAGAUGAACGUGGUACUUUCAGGUGUUUGGAAAGCGCAUGUGAUCUGGAAGGGUAAGCGCAGGUCACCUGGAAGGGCCUGGAAGGGUGAGCGCAGGUAGCCUGGAAGGGUUAGCUCAGGUGACCUGGAAGGGUUAGCGCAGGUGACCUAGAAGGGCCUGGAAGGGUUAGCACAGGUGACCGGGAAGGGAUAGCGCAGGUGACCGGGAAGGGAUAGCGCAGGUGACCGGGAAGGGAUAGCGCAGGUGACCGGGAAGGGAUAGCGCAGGUGACCGGGAAGGGAUAGCGCAGGUGACCGGGAAGGGAUAGCGCAGGUGACCGGGAAGGGAUAGCGCAGGUGACCGGGAAGGGAUAGCGCAGGUGACCGGGAAGGGAUAGCGCAGGUGACCGGGAAGGGAUAGCGCAGGUGACCGGGAAGGGAUAGCGCAGGUGACCGGGAAGGGAUAGCGCAGGUGACCGGGAAGGGAUAGCGCAGGUGACCGGGAAGGGAUAGCGCAGGUGACCGGGAAGGGAUAGCGCAGGUGACCGGGAAGGGAUAGCGCAGGUGACCGGGAAGGGAUAGCGCAGGUGACCGGGAAGGGAUAGCGCAGGUGACCGGGAAGGGAUAGCGCAGGUGACCGGGAAGGGAUAGCGCAGGUGACCGGGAAGGGAUAGCGCAGGGUUAGCAGAGGUGAGAGGAGAGCACGUACAGUUGUUACCGGAUCACAGAUACAGCUUAUAGAAUGCAUCUCUGCACCUUUAGUAUAGGAAUGUGUUUAAGCUAUUUAUAUAUGCGCAAUAAAUUGGAACUUCAGCCAAAAAGCUCAACGUUUGGAAACCUGAUUUGAGGACAUGUUAUGGAUAGCUCUCUCCUGUGCCAGUGGCUUCUCAUAGGG